rnacentral:rRNA from 1 species
AGAGUUUGAUCAUGGCUCAGAACAAACGCUGGCGGCGUGCGUAAUACAUGCAAGUCGAACGGGGAAAGCUUUCGGGUGAGUACUAGUGGCGCACGGGUGAGUAACGCGUGGAUAAUCUGCCUUGAAGAGGGGGAUAACCAGUCGAAAGAUUGGCUAAUACCGCAUAAGACCACAGAAGCUGAGGCUUUAGGGGUCAAAGGUUUUUCGCUUCAAGAUGAGUCCGCGUGAGAUUAGCUAGUUGGUGAGGUAAUGGCUCACCAAGGCAACGAUCUCUAACUGGUCUGAGAGGAUGAUCAGUCACACUGGAACUGAGACACGGUCCAGACUCCUACGGGAGGCAGCAGUAGGGAAUAUUGCACAAUGGAGGAAACUCUGAUGCAGCGACGCCGCGUGAGUGAUGAAGGCCUUCGGGUCGUAAAGCUCUGUCGCAGGGGAAUAACACAAUGAAGGUACCCUGUAAGAAAGGAUCGGCUAACUUCGUGCCAGCAGCCGCGGUAAGACGAGGGAUCCUAGCGUUGUUCGGAAUCAUUGGGCGUAAAGCGGGUGCAGGUGGCUAUGUAAGUCAGGUGUGAAAGCCUAGGGCUCAACCCUAGAAGUGCAUUUGAUACUGCGUAGCUUGAGUGCUAGAGAGGUUACUAGAAUUCUUGGUGUAGUGGUGAAAUACGUAGAUAUCAAGAGGAAUACCGGUGGCGAAGGCGGGUAACUGGCUAGACACUGACACUCGGACCCGAAAGCGUGGGGAUCAAACAGGAUUAGAUACCCUGGUAGUCCACGCCGUAAACGAUGGAUACUUGUUGUUGGAGGUAUUGACCCCUUCAGUGACGAAGCUAACGCGUUAAGUAUCCCGCCUGGGGAGUACGGUCGCAAGAUUAAAACUCAAAUGAAUUGACGG